rnacentral:rRNA from 1 species
CCUACGGGCGGCAGCAGUGGGGAAUAUUGGACAAUGGGGGCAACCCUGAUCCAGCCAUGCCGCGUGUGUGAAGAAGGCCCUCGGGUUGUAAAGCACUUUCAGUGAGGAAGAACGCCUGGUGGUUAAUACCCAUCAGGAAAGACAUCACUCACAGAAGAAGCACCGGCUAACUCCGUGCCAGCAGCCGCGGUAAUACGGAGGGUGCGAGCGUUAAUCGGAAUUACUGGGCGUAAAGCGCGCGUAGGUGGGUUGAUAAGCCGGUUGUGAAAGCCCCGGGCUCAACCUGGGAACGGCAUCCGGAACUGUCAAGCUAGAGUGCAGGAGAGGAAGGUAGAAUUCCCGGUGUAGCGGUGAAAUGCGUAGAGAUCGGGAGGAAUACCAGUGGCGAAGGCGGCCUUCUGGACUGACACUGACACUGAGGUGCGAAAGCGUGGGUAGCAAACAGGAUUAGAUACCCGUGUAGUC